GCCUACGGGGGGCUGCAGUCGAGGAUCUUCGUCAAUGGGCGAAAGCCUGAACGAGCGACGCCGCGUGCGCGAUGAAGGCCUUCGGGUUGUAAAGCGCGAAAGAUGGGACGAAAGCCGAAAGGUUUGACCGAUCAUCAGUAAGCUCGGGCUAAGUUCGUGCCAGCAGCCGCGGUAAGACGAACCGAGCAAACGUUAUUCGGAAUCACUGGGCUUAAAGGGCGCGUAGGCGGGCAUCCAAGUCCGUGGUGAAAUCCGGCAGCUCCACUGUCGAACUGCCGCGGAUACUGGGUGUCUCGAGGGAGGUAGGGGCGUGCGGAACUAUUGGUGGAGCGGUGAAAUGCGUUGAUAUCAAUAGGAACUCCGGUGGCGAAGGCGGCACGCUGGACCUCUUCUGACGCUGAGGCGCGAAAGCCAGGGGAGCAAACGGGAUUAGAUACCCGAGUAGUC
rnacentral:rRNA from 1 species